rnacentral:rRNA from 1 species
AUUGAACGCUGGCGGCAGGCCUAACACAUGCAAGUCGAGCGGAGCGGCGGACGGGUGAGUAAUGCCUAGGAAUCUGCCUGGUAGUGGGGGAUAACGUCCGGAAACGGGCGCUAAUACCGCAUACUAUCAGAUGAGCCUAGGUCGGAUUAGCUAGUUGGUGGGGUAAAGGCCUACCAAGGCGACGAUCCGUAACUGGUCUGAGAGGAUGAUCAGUCACACUGGAACUGAGGCACGGUCCAAACUCCUACGGGAAGCAGCAGUGGGGAAACGUCCGAAAUGGACGAAAGUCUGGCGGAGCAGCGCCGCGGGAGUGAUGACGGCCUUCGGGUUGUAAGGCUCUGUUAAUCGGGACGCGGUACCAGAAUAGAAAGCCACGGCUAACUACGUGCCAGCAGCCGCGGUAAUAC